rnacentral:lncRNA from 1 species
GGGACGUGUUGGGGACACACUGAGGCACACAGGGGACACGUAGGGGACACAAUGGGGACAUGUUGGGGAUCCAUUGGGGACACACUGGGGAUGUGUUGGGGACACAGCAAGGACACAUUGGGGACACGUUGGGGACACACAAGAGGACACACUGGGGACACACUAAGGAUAUGUUGGGGACACAAUGGGGACACGUUGGGGACACAUUGAGAAUGCGAUGGGGACACAAUGGGGACACAAUGGGGACACUGGGGCCAUGUUCAGGACACGUUGGGGACAUUGGGGACCCAUCAGGGACACAUUGCAGAUUGUUGAGGACGUGUUGGGGACACUUGGGGACACGCCAGCCCAGUGCCAUCCUGCUUUUGUUGCAGUGCCACCCCGCUGUUAUUCUGGUGCCACCGCAGUGCCACCCCAAUGUCAUCAUGCUGCCACCCCAAUGUCCUCCCAGUGCCACCCUGCUGUAUUUCUGGUGCCAUCCUGGUGCCAUCGCAGUGCCACUGUGGUGCCACCCCAGUGCCAUCCUAAUGUCAUCAUGGUGCCACCCCAGUGUUAUUCUGGCCCCACUUUGAUGCCACCCCAGUUCCAUCCCAUUGCCAUUCUGGUGCCAUCCCAAUGCCACCCCAAUGCCAUCCCAGUUCCAUCCCAACACCAUUCUGGUGCCAUCCCAGUGCCACCCCUGUGUUAUUCUGGUCCCAUUUUGGUGCCAUUCUGGUGCCAUCCCAAUGCCACCCCAGUUCCAUCCCAACACCAUUCUGGUUCCAUCCCAGUGCCACCCCUGUGUCAUUCUGGUCCCAUUUUGGUGCCAUUUUGGUGCCAUUCCGGUUCCAUCCCAACGCCGCUGUGCUUCCAUCCCGGUUCCACGCCAGCUCCUGGCGGUGCCGCCCCAUGUCCAGCUGCCAUCCCACCAUCACCGCGUCACCGCCGCGUCCACGCCGACGUUGUUGAGGAGGAAGAGCUCCGGGCGCGCGGCGAAGGCCCAGCAGCGCUGUGGGGCGAAGGGGAGACCAUCAGCACCGCCCCGAAAAGUGCGACCAGAGCAACAGCGGCACCGUGCUGUGCCCCCUACCCCCAAAUCCGGGUGUGUGAGUGUGAGUGUGAGUGUGUUGUCACACCCAACGUAGCACUGCUGCACCCAGUGCAGCGUUAUCACACCCUACACGGUGUUAUCACAUUCAACACAGCGUUAUCACACACAACGUGUUGUUGUCACACUCAACACGGUGUUAUCACACUCAGUGUGGUGUUGUCACACCCAGUGUAGCUCUGUUACACCCGGUGCAGUGUUGUCACGCCCUACACGGUGUUAUCACAUUCAACACGGUGUUAUCACACCCAACGUGUUGUUGUCACACCCAACACGGUGUUGUCACACCCAACGUAGCACUGUUACACCCAGUGCAGUGUUAUCACACCCAAUGCAGUAUUGUUAUCACAUUCAACACGGUGUUGUCACACCCAUCGUGUUGUUGUCACACCUGACACGGUGUUAUCACGCCCAGUGUGGUGUUGUCACACUCAAUGUAGCACUGUUACACCCGGUGCAGUGUUGUUGUCACACCCAACGUGUUGUUAUCACACCCAACGUGUUGUUGUCACACUCAACAUGGUGUUAUCACACCCAACAUGAUGUUAUCACACCCAGUGUAGCACUGUUACACCCGGCGCAGCACUGUCACACCCAACACAGCGCUGUCACACCCAACCUGGUGUUGUCACACCCCAUGUAG